rnacentral:rRNA from 1 species
UACGGGGGGGGCAAGCGUUGUUCGGAAUUACUGGGCGUAAAGGGCUCGUAGGCGGCCAACUAAGUCCGACGUGAAAUCCCCAGGCUUAACCUGGGAACUGCGUCGGAUACUGGAUGGGUUGAAUCCGGGAGAGGGAUGCGGAAUUCCAGGUGUAGCGGUGAAAUGCGUAGAUAUCUGGAGGAAUACCGAUGGCGAAGGCAGCCCCCUGGGAUAACACUGACGCUCAUGCACGAAAGCGUGGGGAGCAAACAGG